rnacentral:lncRNA from 1 species
AAAUGAAUGAUAGUAAUGCCUCCUAGCUGAUGUAAAUUUUUGAUAUAUUUCGAUUUGAUUUCAUCUUGUUACAUAUGUAUUUAUAGUGAGAUAUAUAUUGUAAAAUGGAAAAUACCAGCAGAAAUGUUUUGUACCCUCAUCACAUCAAGGCAUUUUCAUCUCAGAACAUUACGGAUUUACACCGACAAUACAAUCCCACUUAAUAAUAAUCACUUGUUAUUUAACUACCAGUAACUGUAAGUUCUCUAAGAUUUUUACUGUGUGUAUUGCUUGUUUCUUUUAUAUUAUAUUAUUGUUGGUAUAUAUACCCUACCA